AGAUACCCCAGUAGUCCUAGCUGUAAACGAUGGAUACUAGGUGUUGUGCGUAUCGACCCGUGCAGUACCGCAGCAAACGCGUUAAGUAUCCCGCCUGGGGAGUACGCACGCAAGUGUGAAACUCAAAGGAAUUGACGGGGGCCCGCACAAGCGGUGGAGUAUGUGGUUUAAUUCGAUGCAACGCGAAGAACCUUACCAGGGCUUGACAUCCCGCGAAUGUUUGAGAAAUCAGACAGUGCCUUCGGGAGCGCGGAGACAGGUGGUGCAUGGCUGUCGUCAGCUCGUGUCGUGAGAUGUUGGGUUAAGUCCCGCAACGAGCGCAACCCACGUUCUUAGUUGCCAUCAUUAAGUUGGGCACUCUGAGGAGACUGCCGGGGACAACUCGGAGGAAGGUGUGGACGACGUCAAGUCAUCAUGCCCCUUACGUUCUGGGCUACACACGUACUACAAUGCAACGGACAAAGGGCAGCCAGCCAGCGAUGGUGAGCUAAUCCCAUAAACCGUUGCUCAGUUCAGAUUGCAGGCUGCAACUCGCCUGCAUGAAGGCGGAAUCGCUAGUAAUCGCAGGUCAGCAUACUGCGGUGAAUACGUUCCCGGGCCUUGUACACACCGCCCGUCACACCAUGGAAGUUGGCCAUGCCCGAAGUCGUUACCCUAACCCUUGUGGAGGGGGGCGCCGAAGGCAGGGCUGAUGACUGGGGUGAAGUCGUAACAAGGUAGCCGUACCGGAAGGUGUGGCUGGAUCACCUCCUUU
rnacentral:rRNA from 1 species